rnacentral:rRNA from 1 species
UACGAAGGGGGCUAGCGUUGUCCGGAAUUAUUGGGCGUAAAGAGCUCGUAGGCGGUCUGUCGCGUCGAAUGUGAAAACCCGGGGCUCAACUCCGGGCUUGCAUUCGAUACGGGCAGGCUAGAGUUCGGUAGGGGAGUCUGGAAUUCCUGGUGUAGCGGUGAAAUGCGCAGAUAUCAGGAGGAACACCGGUGGCGAAGGCGGGACUCUGGGCCGAUACUGACGCUGAGGAGCGAAAGCGUGGGGAGCGAACAGG